rnacentral:misc_RNA from 1 species
AAUAGAUGCAUUAAUGAACUGUGAGCAAUCAUAUUUUUACUAAAGCAUCCAAAUAGUACUUCUAAAUGUAAAAAAUUUCCUUUCGUUGUUUCCUUAUGUAUUUUUUGUAUUUUUUUUCUUCUUUGAUCGGAAUUUAACCACAAAGGUUCUUCCUUACCAAGUGCUGUGCUCAUUUUGCUGUUGCAACAUUUGCAAAUACAAAGUUCUCAUUAAAUAUAACAAUCACCCUAAGAGUUUCUGUGCCUUUGACAAAGAUAGCUAUAAUUAUCCCCAGGGAGUUGCAUGAGGAUUUUACAUGUUCUACCAAUACUAUCUGGCUUCUUUUUAGAUCAUUUUUCCUUUGGAUAGAUCUACUGUUUAUUUAAUAGAAUACUUUUAGUUGACAAUGAAUUCAAGGGGAAAACAAUGGAGUAUUGAGCUUUUGCUUGUGGAUAUGCACCUAAACACAUUCAAUCAUAAUGUAAUUUUUGUCUAAAUUCAUGUAAAUCUCAUGUUACAGACCUUAUUUUUUUAUAUCUUUUAACCCUAUCAAGGUUAUUAUUUCAGAUUGUUAAUAUGCACACACACUUAUUUAUAUAUGAAGGUUAGAAUAGAUAGCAGAAAGAGACUAUGUUUCUGAGCACGUUUGACACUCUUAUACUGAAUGUAGCAUUUGUUCUUUACUAUUGUGUUUUAGAAACAAGAGGAUAGUGGCUGUUAUAGUCAACAAAAUUGGAAAGCUCAAAAUUAAGAUGUUUGAGUGUGUAAAUCAUUUGAUAUUUUUUGGAAUCAUGAAUUCUUUGGACUUGACAUUACAAACCAUUUGGCAUAUCAGCUGAGAAGUAGUUGCAAAUUUUGGUAUUUUAAAAUUAUAAAUAUUUAUGGUGAUGUCAAACACAAUUUAUUACAGAUUCUCAUUUUCCUUUUUAUCUGCUUACGCGUUUUAGGUGCACACUUAUUCAGA